GGCUGGUGUUGGAGGAACAGAGCGUUGCGUAUCCCGCGGAUUCUCCGGAUCUGCUCCUCUGGUUUCGGUGCAGAAGUAUCCGGUAAAUCCCUGUCAGCGGGCUACGGCAGUCCAUCACCACGUUGUUCCUCAGGUCGUGAAUGCCGAGUUUGACCUGGGAGAAGUUUCCGUUGCCUAUUUCUCCACGCAGCUCGUAGAAGCCGAUCCGUCUGCCGAAGGCCAGCUGAGGCAUGAGCUCUCUGCGGUGAGACGGCAUCGUCUGCCUGGCCACCUGCCCUGUAGGGAGAAAGAGAUCUCUUUAAUAUCCCAGGUAUUUCUCAUAGAAAGCAAUGGAAUUAAAUGGAGAAUUUUGCUGUAGUCGCCUUCUUCUUCAGAUGCUUCUCUGAGAAGAAGAGUGCAGUAAUCUCACUUUAGAUUUUCAAAAGAGAACAUCUUAAAAUGUGCUCAGAAUUGCCAUAAUAUUAAAAAUGUUCCAGUUCUCAUUUGUUUCAUUUAAGUAUCAACUUUGUCUCUUGAGAAAAACGGACCCAAGCAAGUUGUCAUACAGUUCUUGGGAGAACUAAAUAAGAAACGUUUGAGUUCAUAUUGAGAUCUGAGCACAGUUUGAGAUAUUUCUGAGAUCUUUUCUGAGAUUACUGGGGUGUUUUUCUCAAGAGAAUUCAGCAAAUGUCUCCAUUUAACGUCAUGAUUGUUGUCUAGGUGAAACAAUCCACAUAUCUAAUGCAAGAUUUUCCUGCCUAUGUGGAGAUCUCAAUAUGAACUCAAACAUUUCUCAUCACUGUCUUUUGCAUGUCUUUUUAUUCUUAUUUCUAUUAAGUAACCUUAGGAGAACAUCUGAGAACACCAUAAAGUUUGAAAGAGCAAUCUCUGAGCACUAACAUGUUCCUCUUAGUCCUAAAAACCCAAAUAAGAUCAUUCUGGAUUCGAAAUUGUGUUUCCAAACUCUCACAUGAUCUGUGCUCUCCCAUUUUUCUCAGUAAGAAAGGAUAUUUAAGUAUCAACUUUGUCUCAGAUGUUACUCCUAAAAUAUGAACUCAGACAUUUCUCAUCAAACACUUCCAAGUCCAAAUAGUCUGAGUUAUGCUAUACAAAUUUAUAUAGAUCAAAACUUAUUCUACUAAGGAAUCUUGUGAGAACUCUGUUAAGUUGCUUGAGCUAUGAAAGAACAGCAUCUGAGAAAUAACAUCAAAUAAAAACUAGUGCUGUCAAAUCAUUUAAUCGCGAUUAAUCACAUCUAACAUAAAAAUAUAAUGUACA